rnacentral:rRNA from 1 species
UACGAAGGGGGCUAGCGUUGCUCGGAAUCACUGGGCGUAAAGCGCACGUAGGCGGGUCGUUAAGUCGGGGGUGAAAUCCUGGAGCUCAACUCCAGAACUGCCUUCGAUACUGGCGAUCUUGAGUCUGGGAGAGGUGAGUGGAACUCCGAGUGUAGAGGUGAAAUUCGUAGAUAUUCGGAAGAACACCAGUGGCGAAGGCGGCCAACUGGUCCGGUACUGACGCUGAGGUGCGAAAGCGUGGGGAGCAAACAGG